GUGGGGAAUUUUGGACAAUGGGCGCAAGACUGAUCCAGCAAUGCCGCGUGCAGGAAGAAGGCCUUCGGGUUGUAAACUGCUUUUGUACGGAACGAAACGGUCCGGGUUAAUACCCUGGGCUAAUGACGGUACCGUAAGAAUAAGCACCGGCUAACUACGUGCCAGCAGCCGCGGUAAUACGUAGGGUGCAAGCGUUAAUCGGAAUUACUGGGCGUAAAGCGUGCGCAGGCGGUUUUGUAAGACAGGCGUGAAAUCCCCGGGCUCAACCUGGGAAUUGCGCUUGUGACUGCAAGGCUGGAGUGCGGCAGAGGGGGAUGGAAUUCCGCGUGUAGCAGUGAAAUGCGUAGAUAUGCGGAGGAACACCGAUGGCGAAGGCAAUCCCCUGGGCCUGCACUGACGCUCAUGCACGAAAGCGUGGGGAGCAAACAGGAUUAGAAACCCGGGUAGUCC
rnacentral:rRNA from 1 species